CCUACGGGUGGCUGCAGUGGGGAAUAUUGGACAAUGGGCGAAAGCCUGAUCCAGCCAUGCCGCGUGUGUGAAGAAGGCCUUCGGGUUGUAAUGCACUUUCAGUGGGGAAGAAAGCCUUGGGGCUAAUACCCUCGAGGAAGGACAUCACCCACAGAAGAAGCACCGGCUAACUCCGUGCCAGCAGCCGCGGUAAUACGGAGGGUGCGAGCGUUAAUCGGAAUUACUGGGCGUAAAGCGCGCGUAGGCGGUCUGAUAAGCCGGUUGUGAAAGCCCCGGGCUCAACCUGGGAACGGCAUCCGGAACUGUCAGGCUAGAGUGCAGGAGAGGAAGGUAGAAUUCCCGGUGUAGCGGUGAAAUGCGUAGAGAUCGGGAGGAAUACCAGUGGCGAAGGCGGCCUUCUGGACUGACACUGACGCUGAGGUGCGAAAGCGUGGGUAGCAAACAGGAUUAGAUACCCCGGUAGUC
rnacentral:rRNA from 1 species